rnacentral:rRNA from 1 species
UUAAGCGACUAAGCGUACACGGUGGAUGCCCUGGCAGUCAGAGGCGAUGAAGGACGUGCUAAUCUGCGAAAAGCGUCGGUAAGGUGAUAUGAACCGUUAUAACCGGCGAUGUCCGAAUGGGGAAACCCAGUGUGAUUCGUCACACUAUCGUUAACUGAAUACAUAGGUUAACGAGGCGAACCGGGGGAACUGAAACAUCUAAGUACCCCGAGGAAAAGAAAUCAACCGAGAUUCCCCCAGUAGCGGCGAGCGAACGGGGAGCAGCCCAGAGUCUGAAUCAGCUUGUGUGUUAGUGGAACGGUCUGGAAAGUCCGACGGUACAGGGUGAUAGUCCCGUACACCAAAAUGCACAGGUUGUGAACUCGAAGAGUAGGGCGGGACACGUGGUAUCCUGUCUGAAUAUGGGGGGACCAUCCUCCAAGGCUAAAUACUCCUGACUGACCGAUAGUGAACCAGUACCGUGAGGGAAAGGCGAAAAGAACCCCGGCGAGGGGAGUGAAAAAGAACCUGAAACCGUGUACGUACAAGCAGUGGGAGCACCUUCGGGUGUGACUGCGUACCUUUUGUAUAAUGGGUCAGCGACUUAUAUUCUGUAGCAAGGUUAACCGUAUAGGGGAGCCGCAGGGAAACCGAGUCUUAACUGGGCGUUAAGUUGCAGGGUAUAGACCCGAAACCCGGUGAUCUAGCCAUGGGCAGGUUGAAGGUUGGGUAACACUAACUGGAGGACCGAACCGACUAAUGUUGAAAAAUUAGCGGAUGACUUGUGGCUGGGGGUGAAAGGCCAAUCAAACCGGGAGAUAGCUGGUUCUCCCCGAAAGCUAUUUAGGUAGCGCCUCGUGAAUUCAUCUUCGGGGGUAGAGCACUGUUUCGGCUAGGGGGUCAUCCCGACUUACCAACCCGAUGCAAACUACGAAUACCGAAGAAUGUUAUCACGGGAGACACACGGCGGGUGCUAACGUCCGUCGUGAAGAGGGAAACAACCCAGACCGCCAGCUAAGGUCCCAAAGUCAUGGUUAAGUGGGAAACGAUGUGGGAAGGCACAGACAGCCAGGAUGUUGGCUUAGAAGCAGCCAUCAUUUAAAGAAAGCGUAAUAGCUCACUGGUCGAGUCGGCCUGCGCGGAAGAUGUAACGGGGCUAAACCAUGCACCGAAGCUGCGGCAGCGACACUAUGUGUUGUUGGGUAGGGGAGCGUUCUGUAAGCCUGCGAAGGUGACCUGUGAGGGUUGCUGGAGGUAUCAGAAGUGCGAAUGCUGACAUAAGUAACGAUAAAGCGGGUGAAAAGCCCGCUCGCCGGAAGACCAAGGGUUCCUGUCCAACGUUAAUCGGGGCAGGGUGAGUCGACCCCUAAGGCGAGGCCGAAAGGCGUAGUCGAUGGGAAACAGGUUAAUAUUCCUGUACUUGGUGUUACUGCGAAGGGGGGACGGAGAAGGCUAUGUUAGCCGGGCGACGGUUGUCCCGGUUUAAGCAUGUAGGCUGGUUGUCCAGGCAAAUCCGGAUAAUCAAGGCUGAGGUGUGAUGACGAGGCACUACGGUGCUGAAGUAACAAAUGCCCUGCUUCCAGGAAAAGCCUCUAAGCAUCAGGUAACAUCAAAUCGUACCCCAAACCGACACAGGUGGUCAGGUAGAGAAUACCAAGGCGCUUGAGAGAACUCGGGUGAAGGAACUAGGCAAAAUGGUGCCGUAACUUCGGGAGAAGGCACGCUGGUGUGUAGGUGAAGCCCCUGCGGGUGGAGCUGAGACCAGUCGAAGAUACCAGCUGGCUGCAACUGUUUAUUAAAAACACAGCACUGUGCAAACACGAAAGUGGACGUAUACGGUGUGACGCCUGCCCGGUGCCGGAAGGUUAAUUGAUGGGGUUAUCCGUAAGGAGAAGCUCUUGAUCGAAGCCCCGGUAAACGGCGGCCGUAACUAUAACGGUCCUAAGGUAGCGAAAUUCCUUGUCGGGUAAGUUCCGACCUGCACGAAUGGCGUAAUGAUGGCCAGGCUGUCUCCACCCGAGACUCAGUGAAAUUGAACUCGCUGUGAAGAUGCAGUGUACCCGCGGCAAGACGGAAAGACCCCGUGAACCUUUACUAUAGCUUGACACUGAACAUUGAGCCUUGAUGUGUAGGAUAGGUGGGAGGCUUUGAAGCGUGGACGCCAGUCUGCGUGGAGCCAACCUUGAAAUACCACCCUUUAAUGUUUGAUGUUCUAACGUUGGCCCCUGACCGGGGUUGCGGACAGUGUCUGGUGGGUAGUUUGACUGGGGCGGUCUCCUCCCAAAGCGUAACGGAGGAGCACGAAGGUUAGCUAAUCCUGGUCGGACAUCAGGAGGUUAGUGCAAUGGCAUAAGCUAGCUUGACUGCGAGCGUGACGGCGCGAGCAGGUGCGAAAGCAGGUCAUAGUGAUCCGGUGGUUCUGAAUGGAAGGGCCAUCGCUCAACGGAUAAAAGGUACUCCGGGGAUAACAGGCUGAUACCGCCCAAGAGUUCAUAUCGACGGCGGUGUUUGGCACCUCGAUGUCGGCUCAUCACAUCCUGGGGCUGAAGUAGGUCCCAAGGGUAUGGCUGUUCGCCAUUUAAAGUGGUACGCGAGCUGGGUUUAGAACGUCGUGAGACAGUUCGGUCCCUAUCUGCCGUGGGCGCUGGAGAAUUGAGGGGGGCUGCUCCUAGUACGAGAGGACCGGAGUGGACGCAUCACUGGUGUUCGGGUUGUCAUGCCAAUGGCACUGCCCGGUAGCUAAAUGCGGAAGAGAUAAGUGCUGAAAGCAUCUAAGCACGAAACUUGCCCCGAGAUGAGUUCUCCCUGAGACUUUAAGUCUCCUGAAGGAACGUUAAAGACGAUGACGUUGAUAGGCCGGGUGUGUAAGCGCAGCGAUGCGUUGAGCUAACCGGUACUAAUGAACCGUGAGGCUUAACCUU